AGCAGUCGCCGCGGUAACACAGAGGGUGCGAGCGUUAAUCGGAUUUACUGGGCGUAAAGCGUGCGUAGGCGGCUUUUUAAGUCGGAUGUGAAAUCCCUGAGCUUAACUUAGGAAUUGCAUUCGAUACUGGGAAGCUAGAGUAUGGGAGAGGAUGGUAGAAUUCCAGGUGUAGCGGUGAAAUGCGUAGAGAUCUGGAGGAAUACCGAUGGCGAAGGCAGCCAUCUGGCCUAAUACUGACGCUGAGGUACGAAAGCAUGGGGAGCAAACAGGAUUAGAUACCCUUGUAGUCCCUGUCUCUUAUAC
rnacentral:rRNA from 1 species